GUCUAUGGCCAUGCCACCCUGAACAAACUCGAUCCCAUCUGAUCUUGGAAGCUAAGCAGGGUCGGGCCUGGUUAGUACUUGGAUGGGAGACCACCUAGUACUGUAGGCGUAAAAAAAAAGACCAGGUACUGUAGGUG
rnacentral:rRNA from 1 species